GACAAACAUGUUCCUUAUAUUGGAGUCUUUGUUAGACUGUUCUAUAUUCUGUGUAACUUGACUGUUAUGUUGGUAAAAGCUGUUAAUGAGCUAAUAUUAAUGCCUUACAUGCUCCUGCUUUAUGCAUUAGCUCCAUGAACCUAAUGGAUUUAGUUUUCAUUUUUCAUGGAAGAAACUGUUUUUGUUAUUUUUUUUUUUUAGUAGUUGUACAACUGUAUUACAGAGGAACAUUCAGCUGCUUUUGUUUAAGCUUUAAUGCGAGGUCAGUAAUGUUCACAGGUUUACUUAAAGCUUAAAUGUGAUUUCACUGUGACCCUCACAGGUCAGGUUUUUGAGUUGGAGCCUUUUGGAUUUGGAGAAGAGCAGCGAUAGAAAGAGAAACACAGGAGUUUUCUGCAAUCCUCCCACAAACUCAGAAGAUUUGAGAACUUUCUGUCUCAUGGAUGGUGAGCCACAGCCGGGAUGGAGCUGAAGCCUUUAACUUCAUCCCUGUACACUGAUUCCUCGUUCCCCCGAAUGAGUCCAACCACUGUGGUGUCUUCAGCAAUGUCCAGACCAGCUGGUUGAUCUGUCAGCAGGUGGGCAUGUGAAAAUCCUGUCUCCCACAACCAAAAUCUGGAUUCGUUCUUGUUGGCUACAUCAUGGCAGGAAGGUGUAAACUUCAAUGGCCAACACCGGGUUCUGCCCAUGUCAGCACCAUCAUGGAAAAGCAUGAAUUUCAACAACUAAAGUCCGGAUCGAUCCCUGUCUUGUAUGUCAUGACAGGAACGUAUAGACUUUAAUAACCAAAUUCUGGUUCUGUCUAUGUCUGCUAUGGCAUGGGAAGAAGAUGUACACUGUAAUGACCGAAGUCUAGGGCCAUCUAUGUCCGCUACAUCAUGGCAGGAAGGUGUACCCUUCAACAGCCAACACCUGGUCCCAUCGAUGUCUGGUACGUCAUGGAAAAGCUUAGACUUUAACAACCAACGUCUGGCUCCAUCUAUGUCUGCGAUGUUGUGGAAAAGCAUGGACUUCAGUAACCAAAGGCUGGGUCCAUCCCUGUCCGGUACAUCAUUGGAAGAAGGUGUAUGCUCUCUUGACCAAAGUCCAGGUCCAUCCAUGCCUGCCACGUCAUGGCACAAAGAUGUACACUCCAAUGACCGAAGUCACACAGAGGAUGAAGCCCUAUGUCCAACAUUCUCUGGAUGCUUCGUCAUUGCAGCACCGAUUGGAGUCCAGCAUUUCACCUGAGAAAAAGAAGGAGAAUGUCAGCUGGUUCAGACUCAUUAUCAGGAAAAUUACACGAGCCAUCCACACCUACAUAUAUUAGUCAAUCAAUUACCCCUACUUCACCUCCCCCACUAUCAUUCCUACCCCCAUCCUAUCAUCUCCCCCACCCUUCUCUAUUGCCCUCAUCUUCAUACCCUUUUCUCAAUAAGAAAGUAAAGUGAGGUUUGCUUAUGUAGCCCUUUUCACAGCACAAUCACAACAGAACAGCAAUGUUACAGCUUGGCUCAAAACUGUAACAAAAAUGGAGACAAAAACUGUGCGGUGACUAAAAAUGGAUUUAUUGCAACGCAAAUAACCAACCCCGUGAAUUAGAGGCAGCAAACAAAACCCAAAACCAUGCAACUGGAGCUCCCGCAGGCAGCAGCUCCUGUCAGAGAGAGACCUGGAGUAGGAGUGAGAGGGAUUAAAGAGAGCUGAGCCACUUGAUCAUCACAGUUGUGGCUCAUCAGCUGACGACCCUCAGUUCCAGAAAGACCAGACAGGAACACCUGUCCAGGUGGAGGGUCGUCACAGUAGAUUCAUACAGUAAAGUAAAAAAAACAGACAAA